CCCCAAACUAAAAUGGCCCAAAACAAACAUAAAAUAUCUAAAUAUUUCCGAAGAGUCUAGAAUCAAAAAAUAAAUGCACAUAAUUAAAGCCCAAUCAGAAAACUGAAACCUUUACUAUCAUCUGAUACAUCAUUUCAGCUUUUUCUUUUCACGGUUCAGUUUUAUUGGGAAAGUUGUUUCUUUUAAAAAACCAAUUCAUUUUCUCUUCUUUAGCUUUCCUCUUCGUUCUCCUCUUCUUCGAUCCUUCCUUAGUUUGGUUCACGCUGCCACUCUAUCCUUUGUUGAUUUUCAGCAUACCUAGGGACACUCAUUUCCAGGUAAAUCAUCUCUUUUCUUUUCAAUGUUUCAGUAGCCAAAAUAUGAGCAAGAGCAUUUGCAGAUCUUGGUGUAUGCUUGAACUUGAAUCUUCUAGAUCUGUUUAUUUCUUUUUCAAUAUUAGAUAUUUAUGCUCCAAUAUGUGAUCGAUCUUGACUCUUACUUUUACAUUUCUUUAUUACUGUGAGGGAGUCACCUUCGACUAUGAUCUUCGGCCAAUCUUGUUCAAAACCCACUUGGACUACUUUUCGGCAUGCUAUUGCUUCAGCCGCAAAAUCAGAAAAAAACCCCUUGAUGAAUCUCCGAGCAAGAUAAUAAUACUGCCCCUUCUUCAUUUCUGACCACAAUACCUGAAGCUGACUAGUGGAGAGUCCCAUCAUACGCGCCAUCGAAGUUAAUCUUUACAAACUCCUUAGAUGGCCCAAAGUCUGCAACAGAAGAGGCGACGUUGGCUUGGUGUAAACUGAUCAAAGGUCCUGGACAUUAACGAAAAAUAUGGUUGAUCAUUUCUGUUCUUUCUUUACAUCGGGGGCAUCUAGUAUUGUUGACGAGCAUUCUGUAAUGCAUAUUAACCUUCGUAGGCAAAUAGUUCCAUGAGAUUCUCUAGAUUGUAACAUUUAUUUUAGUUGGUAGAUUAAGAAAGCCAAAGUGUUUUGUAAAAAUUUCUGUAGGCGGUUUGUAAAGCAUAAGCUCUAGGAUUAUCUUUCAAAUUUUGUAAUAGUUUAUAGAUGCUACGAACCGAAAAAUCUCCUAAGUAUUCGCCUCCCUAGACAAUAAGAUCGUCGUGAGGCGUGCGUGCCAGAGGGAUCCGAAGGAUUUUGCCAGCAUCUUCCUCUGAGAAGGUAUUGCUUAUUAGUUCUUUUUUCCAAA